rnacentral:miRNA from 1 species
UUUGUAUUGUUGACAUGGCUU